UCUGCACCCAGACAAAGAAAGAUACGGGUGGGAUGGUGGAGCUUGGGCAGCGUCCGGCCGCCAUGAGUCUGAGCAUGCCGCCGGGGCCGGGGGUCAUGUUGUGCCUCUGGUUCGUCGGUUUUUUUUUUCCAAUAGCCCCUGUUCCCCGCUUCCCCUCUCCCCGCCAUCGUGCUCGCGUGCUCCUGCACGAGCGCGUGCUGCAUAAUAGAGGGGUCCACAGCCAAAGCUGACCCAUGGAAUCUAGAUCUGUUUAUCUAUGCAAACAAGGUGAUUGACAAAAGUCCAAGAAGGUUACUCGCUCUUUUGAUUUCUUGAUUGGGCACAGAUGAAGAGGUUGUUGGAUGCAGUAAAGAUGAAGAGGUUCUUGGAUGCAGUAAAGGUACUUGGAAUCUUGAUUGCAGUGAUUGGGAUUGGACUAUAUUCAUACUUCUGUACCCGUGAAAUUAAACCCACUAAAGCAUCUCCUCAAGUCACUCAGGCACAUUUCCCCUGGUUAUUUUCAUUGUGAUUUGAGGUGCAAAACAUUUCUGUAUUUUGAAAUGGAUCUCCUGAGCGGCAUGGCUAGUUUGAAUACAUAUGCUGCUUCAAUAUUCCAUUGGGAAGAACUGAGAGGUAUUUGAGACGUGGUUCGAUCUACAAUGAUGUGUGUCCCUUAAGUGAUGCCUCACGUGACAUACUUUGACCCAAAGGAGGCUGAUUCCACCUUAUCGAGAUUUGUUAUUGGUUAUCGGAUGGAGCUAACUAAAAAGUAUAUUAUUCCGUGCUUGGUAUUGGUUUAUUUUAUUUAUAAGAACAAAUGUAUAUAUGAUUCAGGUAGGCACUUUUUGAUAUCUCAUAAUUUUGUUCCUGGUGAUGAUCAAUUACUAAAAUAUAUAAUAUGUUGUUUAUGUUAAUAAUUGGUACUUGCUUGCUUUAUGAUCUUUGAAAACUUUUCUUGCCAGAAAUGAUGCCUAUUUUGUUGCUCUUCUAGAUUCUGGAUUGUUAUUUUCUAUUAUCAAAUGAUAUGAUUGGAAAUUCAGAUAAUGAUUUCUCUUUAUUGCUAUGCUACACAUUAUACUUAUUAUCAUUAGAAAUUGACAUCUCGAUGUUGCUCGUGUAACUGCUCAUUGAAAUCUUUAUGAUAUUUUGUCACUGUAGGUUGAUGUCCAUGACAAUAACUAUAUUAGUAAAAAAAAUAGGCCUAUUUCUUAUAUAUGUUUUAUGUGUGUAAAUUCCACCUUAGUUCUUGUUUUUUCUGCAUACAUUUGUCUUGAUAUUGGUAAACGAACUAUUCAUGUGAUGUUGGUUUGUUUAGGUGUACAUUGAUCUACAAAUUCGGAUAGAUUUUUCUUUUACUGUGCCAACCCAUCCUGCACUCUCCCUGGUUUGGUUCCUAGAUGUGAGGUUGGCACUUCGCUUUGCUAAAAAAUAAAUUACAAUAUCAGGAUUUUUCUUUGAAUGGGUGAACUACCUCACCUCUCUUGAGAAUCACUAUUGGGCCUCUUGAUGCUUCAAAGAAGUUAGGAGUUCUAUCUCAUUUUUUGUUUAUGUUUUCAUCCCACCAUGAACAAAAUCAGUGGAACAAUGUUUGCAAAGAAAAAUCACUCGACUCCUGUACCUUUCCAGUACUUUAAUUUAUAGAAUAACUAUGACAAAUAGAUGUCUGUGCGGCUGAAUUUAAUGGCUCUUCCCUUUGCAAAUGCCAGUACAAUAAUGGCAAUGGGAUGGCUUACUCGACGAAGUAUCAUGGUUUAUGGUGGUACUCUUAAGCAUGGAAACUUCGAGGGAAAUUCAUAUGACAUAGUAUCUGCUUCCAGAGCUACGGAAAUUUGUUAGUGGAUCAAUCAGCGAUGAGGAAAGAAAGAAUGAGCUCCACAACUCAUGCCCAGGGGGCAGGUCCAUGUGGCGAGAAGCAUGGGUUCGUGGAAACCUACAAGAAUUUGGAGAGCUGGUAUUUUCCUGAACCCUUUAUGGUGGAGAAAAGGAGCUUAUUGCUUGGAGAAUAAUAUUUUGCGACAUUUGGAUAGGAGGCAGGUCUAAUGUCGCAAUGUCGAUUUUCAGGUUUCUAGAUUAUUGCCCACUGCCCAUCUGCAGUUUGCUUACCGGCGAUGGACCAUUAUUAACCAGAUAGGUUUUCCAAUUGGCUUAUUGACAUGAGGUUGUUUCUUUCAUUUGAGUACAAAAGCAGCUCUGAUAAACAGAGAGCAUCAUGUGCGCUCCACUUUUUGUAGAUGUAUCCAUGUGCAACCAUCUGUCAUAGUGUCAUGACAAGAUUCUCACUAUCAUUGCUCAUUUCACCGAUAUGUGUGGAUACUUAUUUUUACAUUUGGAGGGACCCUUGCAUAUUGUUCAUCUGGUUCUAAGUUAGCCUGUUUGAUGCUUAACUGUGUCUUCUAUGUAUCACCAUUUAGCAAUAGUAAUAUGGAGUAGCAUCUAUUGGUAGUUUUUCCAUCCUCUUGAUUACAGAACCAGAAACAUGGAGCUGUAAACUAUGUUCAUUGAUUUUUUUCCCAGUAUUGGGACCAGCUUAAGCCUUUCUUCAUGUUUGUAAUAUUUUGCCUUAAGACUUUCACGGUUGUAGGCUUUUUUUAUAUUUUGCCCAUGGUGUUGUUUGGGACUUUGGGUGCCCAGAGCAGCUCGUUCACUUGAGCCUUGCAUAAUAGUGUGUAUUAUGGCAGAUGCUAAUUAAGCAAAUGUGCUAUCAUAAUGUGUUGUAUCUAUCUAUUUUUUUUUUGAGUUUGCUCUUUAUCAAGUUCCACGGGUUACACAUGCCUUGAUAAUAGAACACCAAAUGCCCAGGUUUGUCUGCAAUUUUAUUUGGACACAAGUUGAUGCCUUUAUUUCUCUCUUGCUUUUUUAUUUGCACGGACUCAAACUGAAUCUCCCUGGGUGCUUGGACUGAUGUUUAGAUAAUUAAGUUGAACAAAUUUUCGAGUCCAAAUCUGUUAGCUGCUGCAGUACGUUGCAUGUCUUUCUGAAUCAAUUUAGUGUGACACUCUGCGUGUUUAUUAGUCAUUAACUAACAACUAAUCGUGGAUCCUUGCUAUAUUAGUAUGGCUACUGAUGCCCCCACAUGAUUUAUGUUUGUUCCUGUAUAUGUGCUCAAAUUAAUUUAGUGUGAUGUCUUGAUUUUCUAUAUAAAAAGAAGUUUCUUCAUUGGGCUGUAUAAGAAAGGGUAGUCCUGCCAGAACUAAUUAUUUCAAACCACCUACAGUUUCUUCUAGAUGGCAAGUCACUACAGCAUGAGCUAUCAUCCCUGUCCUCAGGCGUUGUGCGGCCGACCAUACUUGGUACGAGAGGCUACGCCGUGUCAUAGUGCUACUCCAGCCCACACGACCUCCACUCCGCAAUCAAACUCAGUCGCAACAUCACUGAUGCCGCCUUCACAUCACUGAAGCAGGCGGUGCUACGACAUCGGUAGAGGCAGCUGAUACAGAGAACAUGACAAAAUGCAGCAUUGGCAUUGGAUGGGUCACAACGCGCCCAUGACUAUGUUGUGUAGAUGGAUGUGAAAGAGGAGAAGCAGCUGGCCACCGCCGCGGAAGUUGUGUUGUGGCGCCUAAGCCGUGUAGAUUGACAACAAUGAGAAGUAUAUCCAUCGCUCCGAUCAGUGCUAGGAACAGAAGCUGAAGAGCUUUUGUCCAGUACCAAGGUCUUCAGUAUAAUUCAGUCGUACAAUUCUGGACUCUUCUCAAGCUACACGGAUGCUAUAUUGAGAAAAACGGUUUGUGAAUAAUUUUGGACGAGUUUGGAGUGCUCUGAACAAUUGCUGCACCACGCGUCAGUGCUUGCCUCACCCCUCUACGUCUUGAGCGGUUGGAUAAGAGAAGUCUACGUCGAUGAUGCUUAUUGCGCAGGCCAUAUUUCUCCUUUCUUCCUCGCAAUCCUCUCCGCUCUCUCCCUGUUCCUUAUUCCCUGACCCUUUCUCUCCCUCUAGAUGAAACUUAUAGGCAUUUCUACCUACAUCAAAGUUGUGUACUUUAAUUUGCAGAUGCAUACAAUAUUUUUGUUUUUGCAUGCAUGUUGGGAUGCGAAAGAGCUCCAACACAUGUUUCCCAAACAACUUAAUUAUCACCUUCCUUACAA